rnacentral:rRNA from 1 species
UAUUCGGAAUUAUUGGGCGUAAAGGGCGCGCAGGCGGUCUUGUCCGUCAGGUGUGAAAGCUCGGGGCUCAACCCCGGAAGUGCACUUGAAACAGCAAGACUUGAAUACGGGAGAGGAGAGAGGAAUUCCUGGUGUAGAGGUGAAAUUCGUAGAUAUCAGGAGGAACACCGAUGGCGAAGGCAUCUCUCUGGACCGAUAUUGACGCUGAGGCGCGAAGGCGUGGGUAGCGAACGGGAUUAGAUACCCCGGUAGUCCACGCAGUAAACGUUGUACACUCGGUGUGGCGGAUAUUAAAAUCUGCUGUGCCCAA